rnacentral:rRNA from 1 species
CCAGACUCCUACGGGAGGCAGCAGUGGGGAAUAUUGCGCAAUGGGGGCAACCCUGACGCAGCAACGCCGCGUGCAGGAAGAAGGUCUUCGGAUUGUAAACUGUUGUCGCAAGGGAAGAAGACAGUGACGGUACCUUGUGAGAAAGUCACGGCUAACUACGUGCCAGCAGCCGCGGUAAUACGUAGGUGACAAGCGUUGUCCGGAUUUACUGGGUGUAAAGGGAGCGUAGACGGCCAGACAAGUCUGAAGUGAAAAUCCAGCGCUUAACGUUGGAAGUGCUUUGGAAACUGCCGGGCUAGAGUGCAGGAGGGGCAGGCGGAAUUCCUAGUGUAGCGGUGAAAUGCGUAGAUAUUAGGAGGAACACCAGUGGCGAAGGCGGCCUGCUGGACUGCAACUGACGUUGAGGCUCGAAGGCGUGGGGAGCAAACAGGAUUAGAUCCCCCGGUA